rnacentral:tRNA from 1 species
GGGGUUGUGGUUCAGUAGUAGAACGCUCAUCUAGCAAGUGUGAGGCUCUGGGUUCGAUCCUCAGCUCCA